rnacentral:rRNA from 1 species
GACGAACGCUGGCGGCGUGCCUAAUACAUGCAAGUAGAACGCUGAAGGAGGAGCUUGCUCUUCUGGAUGAGUUGCGAACGGGUGAGUAACGCGUAGGUAACCUGCCUGGUAGCGGGGGAUAACUAUUGGAAACGAUAGCUAAUACCGCAUAACAGUAGAUGUUGCAUGACAUUUGCUUAAAAGGUGCAAUUGCACCACUACCAGAUGGACCUGCGUUGUAUUAGCUAGUUGGUGGGGUAACGGCUCACCAAGGCGACGAUACAUAGCCGACCUGAGAGGGUGGUCGGCCACACUGGGACUGGGACACGGCCCAGACUCCUACGGGAGGCAGCAGUAGGGAAUCUUCGGCAAUGGACGGAAGUCUGACCGAGCAACGCCGCGUGAGUGAAGAAGGUUUUCGGAUCGUAAAGCUCUGUUGUAAGAGAAGAACGAGUGUGAGAGUGGAAAGUUCACACUGUGACGGUAUCUUACCAGAAAGGGACGGCUAACUACGUG